AUACGGAGGGUGCAAGCGUUAUCCGGAUUCAUUGGGUUUAAAGGGUGCGCAGGCGGAAUGAUUAGUCAGUGGUGAAAUCCUACAGCUUAACUGUAGAACUGCCAUUGAUACUGUCAUUCUUGAGUACACUUGAAGUGGGCGGAAUGUAUCAUGUAGCGGUGAAAUGCAUAGAUAUGAUACAGAACUCCGAUAGCGAAGGCAGCUCACUAAAUUGUAACUGACGCUCAGGCACGAAAGCGUGGGGAGCAAACAGGAUUAGAAACCCGGGUAGUCC
rnacentral:rRNA from 1 species